rfam:Triticum aestivum genome assembly, contig: Triticum_aestivum_CS42_TGACv1_scaffold_513223_6BS
CAACUACUCCCUCCGUUCGGAAUUACUCGUCCAAGAAAUGAAUGUAUCUAGAUGUAUUUUAGUUGUAGAUACAUCCAUUUUUGUGGCAAGUAAUUCCGAACGGAGGGAGUAGUAG